GUCGGAAACUGUUUUCUGCCUCCAAUUUUUGUGCGCCCUCCUUUUUCUGUCUGUCCCAGCCGCACACAAAACCUGCUGUGUUCCCGCCCUCUGCUCCAGCGUGUGUGUGUUUGUCGGUAUUUGAACGACACGUUUUUGUCCUUCCCCAUCAGCUUCGUUAUUUCUUUUUAGAUGUGUUUCCAAUUUCCCGAAAAAGGCAUGGCGGCUGCAGGCCCCCUAACACGCUCCGUCCAGAGGGGAGCCCUCUUCUCGAUACUGCUCUUCACCGGGUUCUGCGCGGGUUUUGUGCGCGCAGCGAACCAGUACCGAGCGGAACGAGUGGCUGACAUCACGUGCUCUGGAGACGCGUUGCAACACCAGGUCACGCUUGGUGCCAAUGAAACCUUCAGUCUUACAUGCGCGACAAACGAGUGGGAGCCGGUUCCGACGAAGUUCCACGAAGUGAUGUGCCCCGGCACGGGGUGCAAUUGCACAGACACACAGGCUGCUCCGUACACUGCCUAUUUUCCCUUGACAAAGUACUGGAAGUGGGUGUUGCCUGAAAACAACAGCGACAACACACACCAGUGGACAACCCCUGUUGGAAAGUGGCUGAACAUGCAGGAGGCCCCGCCCUUCAGUGUUGGAUGUCGACACAAGCAAAAUAAGACUCUCUGCUUCGUAGAUGUCACAGUCAAGUCUGGCGGCCAUUCCCUCGUUGCACAGGCUACAGCAUCCGUCGUGGCGCUCCUAGCAACUUCUGCAACACAGAUCUUUUGAACAGCGCCUGCCGGCGCCUCCAGCCAAGGUCGAGCAGCCAUACCAGCAGCCACGUUGCAACGUGCCCAGGUGCGCGGCAGAAAGGCGCUGCUCUUUUCAACCAAAGGAGGCGGAGAAGGCCUUACGGGAGGUUCAUCGAGUGUGUCGGGAUAUACUGAGAUGGGAUAUCGGAGUGACCAGGAGUCUCCCGGGCGCAACGACCUGACGGGCAGGGCUUUCUGCUCUCCCACUGAAGCUGGGCCAAAGCUAUCACCACCGGAAAAUGUAGCUAUGGGUGCCAGGGGCGAGGUCGUGGUUCUCCUCACAGAAAACUCGGAGGAAAUAAUGGAUUUGAGCUUAACGUCCAACGGAAGCAGGGAGAGCCCGCUCGAAACGAUCGCGGCUAUACUGUUCAUGUGUAUUGCGUUGGAGUCGUGUUCUCCGAAAGCGUCUAGUGAACAUCUUAAAAACGGAAGCCCCGGGGCAUCCUGUCGACGGCGCAGGCAACAGUUGUAGUUCGUCUGAAUGCAGUCUGGCGAACUCUGCAAGUAAGCAGUUGACGUCGCCAUCCGAGGAAAAAGUACUGUUCGACAAAGUGGGCUGUGCAUCAGGUGUGCGAUGUACCAGGAAACCUGGUAGCUCUACUGGUUUCCGUGUCGCCGCAGAACUGUGGUGCGGUUCGUAGUGGUUUUCGUGGAGCGACGCGUUUCGUUGUGUGUUGGCGGCUGCUGUAUUUUUUUUCGGCCCCAUCCUCUUUUUGCGGCAGUCUCUUGUCCUCUGAAAAUACCUGCAACAUCCCGGAUGAUUCCGACAAAAAGCUGU
rnacentral:lncRNA from 1 species